AGCUACAGGCUUAACACAUGCAAGUCGAGGGGCAGCAUGGUCUUAGCUUGCUAAGGCCGAUGGCGACCGGCGCACGGGUGAGUAACACGUAUCCAACCUGCCGUCUACUCUUGGACAGCCUUCUGAAAGGAAGAUUAAUACAAGAUGGCAUCAUGAGUCCGCAUGUUCACAUGAUUAAAGGUAUUCCGGUAGACGAUGGGGAUGCGUUCCAUUAGAUAGUAGGCGGGGUAACGGCCCACCUAGUCUUCGAUGGAUAGGGGUUCUGAGAGGAAGGUCCCCCACAUUGGAACUGAGACACGGUCCAAACUCCUACGGGAGGCAGCAGUGAGGAAUAUUGGUCAAUGGGCGAGAGCCUGAACCAGCCAAGUAGCGUGAAGGAUGACUGCCCUAUGGGUUGUAAACUUCUUUUAUAAAGGAAUAAAGUCGGGUAUGGAUACCCGUUUGCAUGUACUUUAUGAAUAAGGAUCGGCUAACUCCGUGCCAGCAGCCGCGGUAAUACGGAGGAUCCGAGCGUUAUCCGGAUUUAUUGGGUUUAAAGGGAGCGUAGAUGGAUGUUUAAGUCAGUUGUGAAAGUUUGCGGCUCAACCGUAAAAUUGCAGUUGAUACUGGACAUCUUGAGUGCAGUUGAGGCAGGCGGAAUUCGUGGUGUAGCGGUGAAAUGCUUAGAUAUCACGAAGAACUCCGAUUGCGAAGGCAGCCUGCUAAGCUGCAACUGACAUUGAGGCUCGAAAGUGUGGGUAUCAAACAGGAUUAGAUACCCUGGUAGUCCACACGGUAAACGAUGAAUACUCGCUGUUUGCGAUAUACGGCAAGCGGCCAAGCGAAAGCGUUAAGUAUUCCACCUGGGGAGUACGCCGGCAACGGUGAAACUCAAAGGAAUUGACGGGGGCCCGCACAAGCGGAGGAACAUGUGGUUUAAUUCGAUGAUACGCGAGGAACCUUACCCGGGCUUAAAUUGCAGAUGAAUUACGGUGAAAGCCGUAAGCCGCAAGGCAUCUGUGAAGGUGCUGCAUGGUUGUCGUCAGCUCGUGCCGUGAGGUGUCGGCUUAAGUGCCAUAACGAGCGCAACCCUUGUUGUCAGUUACUAACAGGUUCCGCUGAGGACUCUGACAAGACUGCCAUCGUAAGAUGUGAGGAAGGUGGGGAUGACGUCAAAUCAGCACGGCCCUUACGUCCGGGGCUACACACGUGUUACAAUGGGGGGUACAGAGGGCCGCUACCACGCGAGUGGAUGCCAAUCCCAAAAACCUCUCUCAGUUCGGACUGGAGUCUGCAACCCGACUCCACGAAGCUGGAUUCGCUAGUAAUCGCGCAUCAGCCACGGCGCGGUGAAUACGUUCCCGGGCCUUGUACACACCGCCCGUCAAGCCAUGGGAGCCGGGGGUACCUGAAGUGCGUAACCGCGAGGAGCGCCCUAGGGUAAAACUGGUGACUGGGGCUAAGUAG
rnacentral:rRNA from 1 species